AUUGAACGCUGGCGGCAGGCCUAACACAUGCAAGUCGAACGAGUGGCGGACGGGUGAGUACUGUCUGGGAAACUGCCUGAUGGAGGGGGAUAACUACUGGAAACGGUAGCUAAUACCGCAUACCAUCGGAUGUGCCCAGAUGGGAUUAGCUAGUAGGUGGGGUAACGGAUCACCUAGGCGACGAUCCCUAGCUGGUCUGAGAGGAUGACAGGCCACACGGGAAAUGAGACACGGUCCAGAAGCCUACGGGAGGCAGGAGUGGGGAAUAUUGGACAAUGGGAGCAAGCAUGAUGAAGCAAUGCCGGGUGUAUGAAGAAGGCCUUCGGGUUGUAAAGUACUGUCAGCGGGGAGGCGUUACCAGCAGAAGAAGCACCGGCUAACUCCGUGCCAGCAGCCGCGGUAAUAC
rnacentral:rRNA from 1 species